rnacentral:rRNA from 1 species
UACGUAGGCAGCGAGCGUUGUUCGGAGUUACUGGGCGUAAAGGGUGUGUAGGCGGUCUUUUAAGUUUGGUGUGAAAUCUCCCGGCUCAACCGGGAGGGUGCGCCGAAUACUGAGAGACUUGGAGUGCGGGAGAGGAAAGUGGAAUUCCUGGUGUAGCGGUGAAAUGCGUAGAUAUCAGGAGGAACACCGGUGGUGUAGACGGCUUUCUGGACCGUAACUGACGCUGAGACACGAAAGCGUGGGUAGCAAACAGG